UCCGUAAGGUGAACCUGCGGAGGGAUCAUUACCGAGUUUACAACUCCCAAACCCCUGUGAACAUACCACUUGUUGCCUCGGCGGAUCAGCCCGCUCCCGGUAAAACGGGACGGCCCGCCAGAGGACCCCUAAACUCUGUUUCUAUAUGUAACUUCUGAGUAAAACCAUAAAUAAAUCAAAACUUUCAACAACGGAUCUCUUGGUUCUGGCAUCGAUGAAGAACGCAGCAAAAUGCGAUAAGUAAUGUGAAUUGCAGAAUUCAGUGAAUCAUCGAAUCUUUGAACGCACAUUGCGCCCGCCAGUAUUCUGGCGGGCAUGCCUGUUCGAGCGUCAUUUCAACCCUCAAGCACAGCUUGGUGUUGGGACUCGCGUUAAUUCGCGUUCCUCAAAUUGAUUGGCGGUCACGUCGAGCUUCCAUAGCGUAGUAGUAAAACCCUCGUUACUGGUAAUCGUCGCGGCCACGCCGUUAAACCCCAACUUCUGAAUGUUGACCUCGGAUCAGUCCGAGGGACCCGGUGAACUUACCCACAGACUUAGCAUAUACAAUAAGCGGAGGA
rnacentral:rRNA from 1 species